rnacentral:rRNA from 1 species
AAGACCUUGCGCUUUUGGAGCGGCCGAUGCCUGAUUAGCUAGUUGGUGGGGUAAUGGCCUACCAAAGCUUCGAUCAGUAGCUGGUCUGAGAGGACGGCCAGCCACACUGGGACUGAGACACGGCCCAGACUCCUACGGGAGGCAGCAGUGGGGAAUUUUGGACAAUGGGGGCAACCCUGAUCCAGCCAUGCCGCGUGAGUGAAGAAGGCCUUCGGGUUGUAAAGCUCUUUCAGUUGGGAAGAAAAGGUUGAGACUAAUAAUUUCAACUCAUGACGGUACCGACAGAAGAAGCACCGGCUAACUACGUGCCAGCAGCCGCGGUAAUACGUAGGGUGCGAGCGUUAAUCGGAAUUACUGGGCGUAAAGCGUGCGCAGGUGGUUUUGUAAGUCAGAUGUGAAAGCCCCGGGCUCAACCUGGGAACU